rnacentral:tRNA from 1 species
GCCCCAGUAGCCUUAUGCCUAAGGCACUGCUCUCCUAAGCCAGGGACUGGGGGGGUCGAGUCCCAUCUGGGGUG